UACAGAGGUCUCAAGCGUUGUUCGGAUUCAUUGGGCGUAAAGGGUGUGUAGGUGGCGCCGUAAGUCGGGUGUGAAAUUUCGGAGCUUAACUCCGAAACUGCAUUCGAUACUGCGGUGCUUGAGGACUGGAGAGGAGACUGGAAUUCAUGGUGUAGCAGUGAAAUGCGUAGAGAUCAUGAGGAAGACCGGUGGCGAAGGCGGCCUGCUGGGCAGUUACUGACACUGAUGCGCGACAGCGUGGGGAGCAAACAGG
rnacentral:rRNA from 1 species